rnacentral:rRNA from 1 species
UACAGAGGGCGCGAGCGUUGUCCGGAAUCACUGGGCGUAAAGGGCGCGUAGGUGGCCACUAUAAGGCCGUGGUGAAAGUUCGGGGCUCAACCCUGAAUCUGCCGCGGCGACUGUAGGGCUUGGGCACCGUAGAGGCAGAUGGAAUUCCGGGUGUAGCGGUGGAAUGCGUAGAGAUCCGGAAGAACACCGGUGGCGAAGGCGGUCUGCUGGGCGGUGAGCUCGCAAGAGCCGGCUGACACUGAGGCGCGACAGCGUGGGGAGCAAACGGG